GGAAUACCAACAGAAAGAUUACUUAUAGCACUAGAACCGGACGUUGCUUCUGUCUAUGUACAGUGGCUUGAGACUGAUGAAUCAGAAUCUGGUGGAUAUAGUAUAGCAGCCCCAGGAACUAAAUAUCUAGUAGCUGACAUUGGCGGUGGCACAACUGGUAUAACGGUUCAUGAAAAGCUACACAGUGGAAAAAUAAAAGAAAUCAACAAAGCUUCCGGUGAAGGGUGUGGUGGAAGAUCUGUCGAUGCAGCUUUUUU